rnacentral:rRNA from 1 species
GACAUUAAUGUGCUGCAAAUAUCGUCGUCGUUUGCGAGGCUGACUGAAGGAAAGUUCCUCCUUGCCACUAUACUGUCAAUAGACAUGAGUACAACAUCGGCUACUAUCUGGUUGACGGCAUAUAUCCUCCAUGGGCUACCUUUGUCAGCACCAUCUCAAACUCGGCUAGCCAGAAAAGGGCUCACUUUGCCCAUAGACAAGAAAGCAGCUAGAAAGGAUGUCGAGAGGGCAUUUGGAGUUCUUCAGGCCCGUUUUGCAGUUGUUCGUGGACCUGCAAAACAAUGGGAUCCGAAGACCUUGUGGGAGGUGAUGACAUGUUGUGUG